AUUGAACGCUGGCGGCAUGCUUUACACAUGCAAGUCGAACGGCAGCGCGGGCUUCGGCCUGGCGGCGAGUGGCGAACGGGUGAGUAAUGCAUCGGAACGUGCCCAGUAGUGGGGGAUAGCCCGGCGAAAGCCGGAUUAAUACCGCAUACGACCUGAGGGUGAAAGCGGGGGACCGAAAGGCCUCGCGCUAUUGGAGCGGCCGAUGUCGGAUUAGCUAGUUGGUGGGGUAAAGGCUUACCAAGGCGACGAUCCGUAGCUGGUCUGAGAGGACGACCAGCCACACGGGGACGGGACACCGGCCCACACCCCCACGGGGGGCAGGAGUGGGGAUUUUUGGAAAAGGGGGGCAACCCUGACCCGGCCCUGCCGGGGGGGGGAAGAAGGCCUUGGGGUUGUAAACCGUUUUUGUUGGGGAAAAAAUCCUUGGGGCUAAACCCCCGGGGGGAUGACGGGACCGGAAGAAUAAGCACCGGUAAACUACGU
rnacentral:rRNA from 1 species